UGGGGAAUUUUGGACAAUGGGGGAAACCCUGAUCCAGCCAUGCCGCGUGUGUGAAGAAGGCCUUCGGGUUGUAAAGCACUUUCGGACGGAACGAAAUCGCACGGGUGAAUAUCCCGUGUGGAUGACGGUACCGUAAGAAGAAGCACCGGCUAACUACGUGCCAGCAGCCGCGGUAAUACGUAGGGUGCGAGCGUUAAUCGGAAUUACUGGGCGUAAAGCGUGCGCAGGCGGUUCGCCAAGUCAGGUGUGAAAUCCCCGGGCUUAACCUGGGAAUUGCGCUUGAAACUAGCGGGCUUGAGUGUGGCAGAGGGGGGUGGAAUUCCACGUGUAGCAGUGAAAUGCGUAGAGAUGUGGAGGAACACCGAUGGCGAAGGCAGCCCCCUGGGUCAACACUGACGCUCAUGCACGAAAGCGUGGGGAGCAAACAGGAUUAGAUACCCUAGUAGUCCCUGAGCGGGCUGGCAAGGCGCAU
rnacentral:rRNA from 1 species